UUCCACUCAGUAAACAAAACUUGGAUUGAUGCAUUGGAGCACUGUUGGCAAGACAAUUCCUCCUUGGUUGAAAUCUACAAUGAUACAGUCGGUGUUAAAGUUAAAAAUCUGCUGCAAAAUAAAACAGAGUCACACACAGGGGUGUGGGUUGGCCUGGAACGAUCCAUUUUUGGCAAAAAUCCUGAAUGGAAAUGGAUUUCAGGGUCAAAGGUUUUAUAUUCUCAGUGGAACAACAGUUUUCCUGUAAACUCCUUAAACAACCACUGUGGAAAGAUCAUCUCAGUUAAUGAGGCAAAAGAAAUCAAGUUGCUGGAUGCAAACUGCCAUAAAAAACUGCCAUUCAUCUGUCAACGUCUGAAAAACAACAUUUGCUCUACUAAAGCACCUACUCUGAAUCCAGUGCUUUGCAUUCACAUCGACAAGGAUAGUUGCUAAUAAAUGAAUCGAGAACAGGAUAUACUGCAUCUCCCUGGUCACACUGAGAUGAAAUUCCUGAGGAAACAGAUGAAUGACCCAACAUGUCCAGUGUAUAAAUACUCUCUUCAAGCUACUGUUGUGUUUCACAGGAAACCUAUUUUGGAUGUCAUUAUUUUUAAUAGUUUGUAUUAUCGUAGGUUCUUUAGCUUAAAUUACAAACACCUUGAGACAAGUGUUGUUGUGAUUUGGCACUAUGUAAUUAAACUGAACUGAAAAUAGAAUUAUUUGUGACAGAUUUUAGACAUGCCAUAAACCUGGAAUAGUUUACCCAACAUCAUCGUUUUGACUUUCUUGCUGUGCUAUUUAAAUAUCAAGUUUGAUUUUUUUGGUUUGUUCUUUAGUACAUUUAGUUUUGUUCCUAGCUGUUUGAUUCUGGUGUGUUUAAAUCUCUUUACCUCUGUUGGAAAUCAAACUGAUGCAGAUUUCUUUAGAAAAAUACACACUCGCAAGACAAAAUGUAAAAAAAAAGAAAAAGGAAAAAAAAGAAAAAGAAAUCCAGACUGCUCAAAGUAAAGCAGCAAAGUAAAAUCCAAUUAAAAAAAAAAAAACAACAAUGUUGGGCCUGUUCCGAAAUUUGAAUGCAC